rnacentral:rRNA from 1 species
GACGAACGCUGGCGGCGUGCCUAAUACAUGCAAGUCGAACGCUGAAGGAGGAGCUUGCUUCUCUGGAUGAGUUGCGAACGGGUGAGUAACGCGUAGGUAACCUGCCUGGUAGCGGGGGAUAACUAUUGGAAACGAUAGCUAAUACCGCAUAAGAGUAGAUGUCGCAUGACAUUUGCUUAAAAGGUGCAAUUGCAUCACUACCGGAUGGACCUGCGUUGUAUUAGCUAGUUGGUGAGGUAACGGCUCACCAAGGCAACGAUACAUAGCCGACCUGAGAGGGUGAUCGGCCACACUGGGACUGAGACACGGCCCAGACUCCUACGGGAGGCAGCAGUAGGGAAUCUUCGGCAAUGGACGGAAGUCUGACCGAGCAACGCCGCGUGAGUGAAGAAGGGUGUCGGAUCGUAAAGCUCGGUUGUAAGAGAAGAACGAGUGUGAGAGUGGAAAGUUCACACUGUGACGGUAUCUUACCAGAAAGGGACGGCUAACUACGUG